GACGUAGGGUCCAAGCGUUGUCCGGAUUUACUGGGCGUAAAGAGCGCGUAGGCGGUCUGAUAAGUGUGAAGUGAAAUCUCCAAGGCUCAACCCGGAAACUGCUUUACAUACUGUCAGACUGGAGUGAUGAAGAGGUUUGUGGAAUUCCUGGUGUAACGGUGAAAUGUGUUGAUAUCAGGAGGAACACCCAUGGCGAAGGCAGCAAACUGGGUCAUCAACUGACGCUGAGGCGCGAAAGCGUGGGUAGCAAACAGG
rnacentral:rRNA from 1 species